rnacentral:misc_RNA from 1 species
GAUGAAGAACGUAGCGAAAUGCGAUAAGUAAUGUGAAUUGCAGAAUUCAGUGAAUCAUCGAAUCUUUGAACGCACAUUGCGCCCGUCAGUAUUCUGGCGGGCAUGCCUGUUCGAGCGUCAUUACGCCCCUCAAGUCCCCUGUGGACUUGGUGUUGGGGAUCGGCGAGGCUGGUUUUCCAGCACAGCCGUCCCUUAAAUUAAUUGGCGGUCUCGCCGUGGCCCUCCUCUGCGCAGUAGUAAAACACUCGCAACAGGAGCCCGGCGCGGUCCACUGCCGUAAAACCCCCCAACUUUUUAUAGUUGACCUCGGAUCAGGUAGGACUACCCGCUGAACUUAAGCAUAUCAAUAAGCGGAGGA